AUUGAACGCUGGCGGCAGGCCUAACACAUGCAAGUCGAACGAGUGGCGGACGGGUGAGUAAUGUCUGGGAAACUGCCUGCUGGAGGGGGAUAACUACUGUAAACGGUAGCUAAUACCGCCUACCAUCUGAUGUGCCCAGAUGGGAUUAGCUAGUAGGUGUGGUAAAGGCUCACCUAUGCGACGAUCCCUAGCUGGUCUGAGAGGAUGACCAGCCACACUGGAACUGAGAGACGGUCCAGCCUCCGACGGGAGGCAGCAGUGGGGAAUAUUGCACAAUGGGCGCAAGCCUGAUGCAGCCAUGCCGCGUGUAUGAAGAAGGCCUUCGGGUUGUAAAGUACUUUCAGCGGGGAGGCGUUACCCGCAGAAGAAGCACCGGCUAACUCCGUGCCAGCAGCCGCGGUAAUUG
rnacentral:rRNA from 1 species